rnacentral:rRNA from 1 species
AUACGGAGGGGGCUAGCGUUGUUCGGAAUUACUGGGCGUAAAGCGCACGUAGGCGGCUUUGUAAGUUAGGGGUGAAAGCCCGGAGCUCAACUCCGGAAUUGCCUUUAAGACUGCAUCGCUUGAACGUCGGAGAGGUGAGUGGAAUUCCGAGUGUAGAGGUGAAAUUCGUAGAUAUUCGGAAGAACACCAGUGGCGAAGGCGGCUCACUGGACGACUGUUGACGCUGAGGUGCGAAAGCGUGGGGAGC